UUGGAAACCAUUCUCAAGAUCCAUAAGCCAUAGAUGGAGCAAGAAGGAAGAGAUGAUCCGCCCGAUCAAGGUCAGCCCUUGAAAUUCCCAAACCUGUAUACGUUCCUUUAUUGAAUUGAAAAGGUGGAAUUUUGAUGAAGGAUAAGCCCACUGUGAGUAGAAAUUAUUUGGUAAAGAAAGAGAGGCAAGCCAAAACCGUCCUUGGCUUGCCUGGGUUUUCAUGUUCUUAACUAUGAGUGGAGAUUAGUAUACAUGUCAACACAUGAAAACCCAAGCGAGCCAAGGACGAGUUGGGCUGCAACAUACGCAACCGAGUUAACAACCAGGGUGAGUCCGAGUCUCUCCUUCAGGCGUUUACACAGUUGUUGCUUCUUAUGGAGAGAGAGAGGAUGGAGCUGUGAAGUGGAGG
rnacentral:lncRNA from 1 species